CAGCCGCCGCGGUAUACGGAGGAUGCAAGCGUUAUCCGGAUUCAUUGGGUUUAAAGGGUGCGUAGGCGGGUUAGUAAGUCAGUGGUGAAAGCCUACAGCUUAACUGUAGAAUUGCCAUUGAUACUGCUAGCCUUGAGUGCAGUUGAGGUAGCUGGAAUGUGUGGUGUAGCGGUGAAAUGCUUAGAUAUCACACAGAACACCGAUUGCGAAGGCAGGUUACUAAACUGCAACUGACGCUGAGGCACGAAAGCGUGGGGAGCAAACAGGAUUAGAUACCCUGGUAGUCCACGCCCUAAACGAUGAUAACUCGCUGUUGGCGAUAUACUGCCAGUGGCUAAGCGAAAGCGUUAAGUUAUCCACCUGGGGAGUACGACCGCAAGGUUGAAACUUAAAGGAAUUGGCGGG
rnacentral:rRNA from 1 species